rnacentral:rRNA from 1 species
CCUACGGGUGGCAGCAGUAGGGAAUCUUUCACAAUGGGCGAAAGCCUGAUGGAGCAACGCCGCGUGCAGGAUGAAGGCCUUCGGGUUGUAAACUGCUUUUAUAAGCGAGAAAUAUGAUGGUAACUUAUGAAUAAGGAUCGGCUAACUACGUGCCAGCAGCCGCGGUCAUACGUAGGAUCCGAGCAUUAUCCGGAGUGACUGGGUGUAAAGAGUUGCGUAGGUGGCAUAAUAAGUAGCUAGUGAAAUCUGGUGGCUCAACCAUUAAGACUAUUAGCUAAACUGUUAAGCUCGAGACCGUUAGGGGUAACUGGAAUUUCUAGUGUAGGAGUGAAAUCCGUAGAUAGUAGAAGGAACACCAAUAGCGUAGGCAGGUUGCUGGGACGGUUCUGACACUAAGGCACGAAAGCGUAGGGAGCAAACGGGAUUAGAUACCCCUGUAGUC